UCUUAAUAUUAUUGUAGGCACAAAUGAAUUGGAGUCCGCAGCCAACAAGAAACCGAAGCACUCUUCAGGAGUGAGGAUUUUUUAUUUUUAUUGUGUUAUGCAAGUGUCAUGAUAGGUGCUUCAAACGAAAAGGGUGCUCAGUUUCGGGCCUGAUCCUUCAGUCUCUAGGCAGACGAGUCGCCCAAAGGCGCAGCCUAAAUCGGGAUUACUCAAGUGAGUAGAGGCUGCAGACAUGGGUCGCUCCGAUGGCACGACAGCCCGCGUCCGGCUGUUUAGGAUCUCAUCACCCCCAGGAAAUGGAUUGAUGCUAUUUCUAUUGCCUGAAUAUUUCUUUACUGCUCCCCCAGCCUCUCUCGGCGCACAGGUCAGCCUGCAGCGAGUCUCCUACCAAGCAUAGGCAGAUCCUUUGUGCAUAAAUCCAACUCGAGCUUCGCCUACAAGCAAGGCGCUGCAACCAGAAUGAACAUUCUUACUUAUUGAGUUACUUUCUAGCAGAGAGACCAGGAGAUGUAAGAACAUUUUGCAGCUGAUGGAUUACCAUAAUAUAGAGUAACUACUGAGGCCUUUGUAAGAAGAAUGGAUUCCAGAGUGUAUCAAGUAGUAUCAGCAGUCACAAAGAGGCCUCCCUGACUGAGAGAAGAUUAUCGUUCUCUUGAUGGGCCUAGGCCCACCAUGCCUGGCAUAACUAAUUGGCCUGAAGCUCUGCUCCUGCCCUUCGCUGAACUGCUUCUGUCUUGACAGCAUGAAAGUUUCAACAGAGGAGAGAUUCCUUCCCUUUGUCCAAGAACUGCCUAUAGCCGGGUGUUGAGAGCACUUGCUUAUGAGGGUAAGGAAUACAGGUUUGAAUCAACUCAUUCCUAAGGAGAAAUAGAACCCAGACCUGCCACAGCCUGAAUACUCUACCCACUCAGCUUGUGUGAGGUUGGCAGUGGGAUGGAGGCAUCGUCACUACCACUGCCUUCUCCUCCUCGUGUCUCAAAGAAAAGUAAGACCAAAGGAACAGAUUGACUACCUAAUUCAUACAAGAGGUUCCAGGCUUUAAUUUCUGAUCUGAUAUAGCCAAUUCUAUGUAGCCUUGAGCUGGGUAUUUAUCAAUGUUUCCCACUAGAUAGUUUAAGUGCUUCAAGGUUCAAUUUUUGGUGCCUGUUCUGAUUCCCCUUCUGAAUCACCGGACUCUCCCCAUGUACUGUAUAGGGGACUUAGGUGCCCAAUUCAGGAUGUUGAUCCAACUCCAGAAACCAGGCGCCAAAAAUUUGUCAUUGUGACUAUUAGCAUUGGAGCACCUAAGUUCCUUUUUGGAUUUGUCAUUGAUUUUAAACAUAAUGUUAAUAAAAAUGAAUAUUGGAUAGCAUCUUCAACUGUGUCUCCCUAAAAAUCCCCCCUUCUCCCUUGUUUAGCUGUCAGUCUCUUGUUUUGUGUGAUGGUAUUAUUUCACUAGCUCCUCAGUUGCCACUGAAUCUUCAAGGGCAGAUGACACCUGAGUUUGCAAUGUAUUUUUCUUUAUAUAAAACAAUAAACGUCUCUCUCUCUCUCUCUCAGCCUUUCAAUACUUCACCAUUCAAUAUUAAAAAGAGGGGAAAACAUAGCAGAAACAAGCUCAUUUCCACCUGCCACCACUUUCUACCUUUGUGCCUUGACUGUUAGGAAUCUGAGAUUAUGUAAAAUGGCUGCAAAACGCUUCUAUUCUGAUUUAGUAAUGUUUACACCAUCCAUAUUACACUUGGAUUUAAAUGACUAUGCACGUUGUAAGGCAGUGGAGAAUUGUUCCCUAUGUUUAUGAACAAAGCAGGGAAACAGCAAUUUGAUCUGUUGUUUUAUCAUUUAUCAGUUCUCCCUGCUUAUUUCAAAUUUAUCAAUUAUAUUCUUCCUUCAAGGUCAGAUCAUCUUGCAUUUAAUAGUAAUGUGAGGAAAGACUGUUUCUAUUCAAUGAAAAUCUCAAUUUUAGUAUAUCGUUGCGUUUUAAGGUUAUAAUGCCCAGGUAGCAUUCUGAUAUUAAAAAAAAAAAAAUCUUUACUUAAGCUAGGGGUUUUAAAUCAUUGAGUUGUUAUAUUUAUUAGAGGGAUUAUACAUUUGAUUCAAUUUAAAGUGUUUUACUAAUGUUUUUGAGACUUAAGCCUGUCUUCACAUUCUUGCUGAAAUAAAAGAAACUGAUUGUGCUAACUCAACACACACUGUUUGAAAAUCUUUUUGUUUGAAGGAUAGGGUAGAAUAACAAUUCGGUAUCUGAGGAUGGCUCUACUUUUGAUGUGAAUUUCUCAAGAUCACCUGUAAUAAAGAUAUGUAAAAAUACUCUUCUGUCCACUUACAUGUGUAGCCUGUGACAUGACAGGAAGAAAUGAAAAGUAGUAAUAAGAAUUCUUUAGGUCAGUCAACCUAACUCUUAGACUAAGUAGAAAUUGAAAAUUCAAGCUACAAAAAUAGGUGCCUAAUUUUGUUAAUUAAAUAAGUGAUCUGAUUUCCAGAGAUGCUAAGCCUUAAGAGAACUUUUUUUUCUUCAAUAACAAAAAUAUUAAAAUAGUACUUAUAUUAUGGAACCCCUUUCAAUGGGGUGAUAGGGGUCUUGCAUUACUAUUCAGUUCCAGUAUGAAUGUUAAGAGCCAUUCUUUUAAAUUGCUAAAAUGAGAGGCUAGCAUUGUGUACUAUUUGCAAAGUAAAACUAAGAUUUUGAAAGAAGGUGUCAUUGACUCUAUCUGUAAGCUCUUGAUCUGAAGGCCACUAGGAUCAGAUUGGAAUGAAUGUGAUUAGGCAGGAGGCAAGACGGUAAUUGGAACAAUGUGUGUCCCAUUGCUGCUCCCCAAUUUUGAAAUGUUACAGAUGACCAAAAAUUGUAACCCUCUUCCCAAGAUGUAUUUCCCAUUAGAAACAAGGGCUUACAGGUUUUGAGUCAUGUAAAACUUUAGUUUUCAUCUCCUAUGGUUCUUGAUGCAUUUUAUGAAAAUAUUGCAAAUAAUUUCAAUGAAAUGAAUGAAUUUGCAUGAAAAUAAUUUUGGUGAUCUCUUGGGUCAUGCAAGAAAAUCCAACAGCAAGAGCAACCAGGAUGCUUUCAGUGUUAUGGCUCAUUAUUUCUCUCUCUUUCUGGUCAGCAGGAUCACCGUAUUUUCUUGCAUAGCGCACACCCCAAAAUAAGGCACCUUGCUUUGGGAAAACAGAAUGAAGAAAAAUACAUUUUUUCAGGGCUUUCUCUGCCACAGCAUGGACUCACUGUUGAUGAAUGCUCUCAGGCACAUGCGUUACUCAUCCCCUCCUUCCAACUCCAAAAGCUGCUUCCAAUUUAAUCCUGUGACAGGAUUAAAACUUGAGCUUUGGAGCUUGAAAGAGGGGAUGAGUAACUGGAAAUCAGACUCUGCCCGUCCUGUAUGGGCUCAGGAAGGCAGUGCAACCCCUGGCAGUCAUUACAAUAUCCUCAUACAUGCCUUUUGGUAAGGAAAUUGGUCUCCUCGCUUAAACACACCAGUAAUGGAUGGCUAAUUUUGGGGGGGAAAGACACGUGGUAUACAAGUAAAUACAGUAGUGCCGCUAAUAAACCUGGUAGAAUCUAUCUCCUUUUUGUGGAUGCUGUUGAUGCUAGUAAGCUUGCCGUAGAGUAGUUGUGGAAAAUGUGUCCCAGUGACAGUGUUCUGGAUCUAGUCUGCAGAGUAGGGAACAAAUCUAGCAGGUACUAGCUGAAGCUCAAGAGGUGGUGCAUUGUAAUCCUCAUUUUGAUCUCUCUCAUGAAUUGAGAGAAGGAAACAGAAGAGUAGAAGCACAAUUUUAACAUCAGGGGAAAGGACAUUUCUUAUUUUCAGGAGGGAGGAAUUUUCUUAUGUUUGCCACAUGCAUCAAGAGUUUUCAAAGUACUAGUGAUUUUUAAACGUGAAACACCUUCAAGAGGGCUUGAUUUUCACGAAGUGCCUAGUUCUCUGUCUUUGGAAAUUGGCUCUAUUUCUAUAGUCUGAAGUUGGGCACCUAAAAUUGCUAGCUGCGUUUGAAAAUCUUGGCUUUCUUGUGCAGUCUUUUUUGCCAAUACUUUGGAAGUGAGAUUUCUGCUGAAUAGUACUCCCUGUUAUUUUGUGUUAAUUUUAACUCAUGUUUAAUUUAAUGGCAAGUGUGUGUAUGUGUGGAAACACUAAUGGCUUUGUUUCUUGGCCAGCACAAAGAUUGUAUUUCUCUGUGUUGUUAACUUUGUGUCAUCGCAGAAGGUAGACUAACUUUAUUUUGAGUUUGUCUUAUUUUUGCUUGACAUUUUAGGAUGAAUAGCUCAGCAUAACAAAUUAUUAUAUAUGCUUUAGCUUCAAGCUUUUAAUGUGGAAUCCAAGUUUUAGCAUCAGGAUCCAAUUAAAUGAUAGUUCAAUCUGACUUGAAAAAUUAAUGGUCCAGAACAGAAAGCCUGUCACAUUUUUUUUGAAGUUCUUAUUUUCAGUAUUCCUGUUUUAAAUAAAAAUCUGGAUGCAACCCAGUAACAUAAAGCUGCAUGUUCUUUCAUCAACUGAACAUAGCUACACCUGAACGUGAAGAUUAUAAGUAAAUAACUGUUAUUAAAUAUAGCGUUUUAUUUGGCUGCAUAGGUGUUAUUAGUUACAAAAUGGUGUGGUGGUGUCCUAUUCAAAAAAGUUUAUAUUGCUACUGUUUGCUGCCCUUUGCAGGAGAUAUGAUUUGAACUUUGUAAAUCAUUAUUCUAUAAUUAUAUGUCAUCCACAAUGACAGUUAGAACAUUCAACUUCUGUUGACGCAUGAAUUGGACAUAUUGAUUUUUAAUUUUAACGAUAUACAGAUUGGCAAGUAAUAAAUUUUGAUGAAAACAUCUGCUUAAAAUGUGUUUAAUAUACCCUGAGUGAGAAUAAUGGUUUACAAUUAAGUGAAAGUGGAGGAUUCAGAUUUGUAUAUAAAACAGUGAUGCAUGAUGCUAUGGGCACCUUAUACCAAAAAGGAAGGCAAUGCCUUUAAUUUCACUACAGUUUAAACAUAUCGUUCACUGCUUUCCUGAUUUACUUGCAUUUAGCAUUUUAGCCAAAAAAAGAUUUCGUGGCAGAGUAUUGAGAGCAUUAGUUUUUUGAAAACUAAAUUACUGUAGCUUUACUGGAAAUUGUCUUUUUAUGUUUGCAAAAGUUACAUUUGUUCUCAUCACCCAGCAACUUUCCUGCAGUUAUAGUCUUGGCCACACUUCCCACUUUUUAAUCUCUUGUUACCCUUAAACUUCCUCUCCAUUUGUCUUAUUUUUGGCAUUAUUUUUAUAGAGCUGUGCAUUUCCACUGUAAUGGGACAGACACACUGUUAUAUACCAGUUGGGAAAUGUAUUUAAAGUAAUUGAAAAAAUAAAAAACAACCAUUCAAACUAAA